rnacentral:lncRNA from 1 species
CACGACUGCAUGGCCCUGCCCAGGGAAGGAGAUGAGCGGGUCAGCUACCCACCGACCCACCCCCCAGAGCCAACUGCACUCCCUGCAGCCCAUUGCUCCAGCCCAGCACGCACCCUGCUGAGGUCAGCACUGAUGCCGCUGGAGGACAGCUCCAUGUUGAAGGAAGUCAGGUCCUGUUUGCUUGUGCCUGGGGAACAAAGCAGAGAACAGGCCAGGAAAGAAGACUUGUGGGUUCUUCACACUGGCCCCUGCCAGCCUGCCCUUCUGAAGUAAUGUGGAGCCUUGGAUAAGUGACAGCAAGACAGUUGAGCAAGAAGGGGGAGGAAUUACAUUCACUCUGCGGGGCUCAGAUCACA